rnacentral:tRNA from 1 species
GCUUUCGUGGUAUAGUAGUCAGCUCGCUCGACGCGUAAUCGAGAGGUCCGUGGUUCGAUUCCCGGAGAAGGCG